CCAGUUGGCUGGGCAGCCGCGCUUUGCAAAUGCCGAAAGGCUGUGAGGUGAGGAAAGUCCGGGCUCCACGGAAAUACGGCGCCGGAUAACAUCCGGCGGGGGCGACCCCAGGGAAAGUGCCACAGAAAAUAUUCCACCCGGUUUACCGGGUAAGGGUGAAAAGGUGGGGUAAGAGCCCACCGCGGAUCCGGCAACGGAAACGGCAUGGCAAACCCCGCCGGGAGCAAGACCGAAUAGGGAUGACACGUAUGCUUCGGCAUGCAGGGCCGUUUCCGGCCUCGUCAUCCGGGUGGGUUGCGUGAGGCGGCGUGCGAGCGUCGUCCCAGAUGAAUGGCUGCCACGUUCCGGGCGACCGGAGCCAUACAGAACCCGGCUUACAGGCCAACUGGCGUU
rnacentral:RNase_P_RNA from 1 species